UACGGAGGGUGCAAGCGUUAUCCGGAUUCACUGGGUUUAAAGGGUGCGUAGGCGGUUUGAUAAGUCAGUGGUGAAAGCUCGCAGCUUAACUGUGAAACUGCCAUUGAAACUGCCAGACUUGAGUACGAUUGAUGUGGGCGGAAUACAUCAUGUAGCGGUGAAAUGCUUAGAUAUGAUGUAGAACACCGAUUGCGAAGGCAGCUCACAAAAUCGCAACUGACGCUGAGGCACGAAAGCGUGGGUAGCAAACAGG
rnacentral:rRNA from 1 species